CGUAGGGUGCAAGCGUUAAUCGGAAUUACUGGGCGUAAAGCGUGCGCAGGCGGUUUUGUAAGUCUGUCGUGAAAUCCCCGGGCUCAACCUGGGAAUGGCGAUGGAGACUGCAAGGCUAGAGUUUGGCAGAGGGGGGGUAGAAUUCCACGUGUAGCAGUGAAAUGCGUAGAUAUGUGGAGGAACACCGAUGGCGAAGGCAGCCCCCUGGGUCAAAACUGACGCUCAUGCACGAAAGCGUGGGGAGCAAACAGGAUUAGAUACCCUGGUAGUCCACGCCCUAAACGAUGUCUACUAGUUGUCGGGUCUUAAUUGACUUGGUAACGCAGCUAACGCGUGAAGUAGACCGCCUGGGGAGUACGGUCGCAAGAUUA
rnacentral:rRNA from 1 species